UACGUAGGUGGCAAGCGUUUGUCCGGAUUUACUGGGCGUAAAGAGCGCGCAGGCGGUCGUUCAAGUCGAGUGUGAAAGCCCCCGGCUCAACUGGGGAGGGUCACUCGAUACUGAUCGACUCGAAGGCAGAAGAGGGAAGCGGAAUUCCCGGUGUAGUGGUGAAAUGCGUAGAUAUCGGGAGGAACACCAGUGGCGAAGGCGGCUUUCUGGUCUGCUCUGACGCUGAGGCGCGAAAGCUAGGGUAGCAAACGGGG
rnacentral:rRNA from 1 species